AUUGUUUUUGGUUAAACUGGUUUUUUAGACUAAUGUCCAACUAUUUAUUUUAUUACAAUCAUGUUUAAUCCAAGUUUAACCCUGGAAUUGAUCCAAAUUAAAAAGUUUCAGGGUCAAUCAAAAAUCUGUUAACAUCAACUUUAACCUAAAUUGUUAACAGUAACACAAUAAAAUUACAGUAUAAGUAUACCUGUUACAAGACGUUUAAAGUUAAACAAUCAAUGUUAAUUAUUAGCUGAAAGUAAAGCAAACAGACAAACAAGUGUACAAAAAAAGCGAUACCAACUAAUGAACCACAAAAUGAUAUUCAACUGUAUUUAUACAACUUUACAACAAUAUUUAUCCCAAUCCCAAUCCUGAAGAUAAAUUUACAAUUAGAAAUGAAAACAAAAUGAACUGAUUGUAACAAUAAGAGAUGAAGAGUUAUUGUUUAACUUGCUUUACAUCCAUUACCAACUGUAUAAAUAACAAUCUUAUUACCGAUACAUCUACUUUACAUCGUCGAUUGAUAUUGACGUUGAAUUGUUGUAAAUUAAAUGUUCAAACUUUUACAGAUUGAGGUUAUUGUUCACAAUUUAUCAGGUAAUAAUAAUAAUAGUAAACAGUUAACAUAAUAAUAAGCUCAACUGUGAACCCUUAUAUAAUACAUGUACUGAUAUUGAUAUGUAUUUAUAUCGUCAACAUGAUUUGAAUCAUUUCGUUUUUUUAGCCAAACAAAAAAAACCUAUUGAUUGUAUAAUUCAGUUAUUGACAUGUAUUCAAAGGUUAAUGUUAACUGUUAGACUGCAAUUGAAAAUUUUGACCCUAUCUUGAGCCAAUUUAAUCAAUUUUACCUUCUCUAAUAAUCAAAAAAGUCAGUUAUUAUUAUUUUUACAAUACCAGGUAAAAAAUGGCUCAGACAUUGAAAUAUCACUGAAUGUUUCAAAAGUGGAAGACACACAAACAGGUAAAUCAUGAAUCAACUCUAGACAGAUUAAUCGUCUCGAUUACAAUUAUGUUUGGCCCUUUUUUACUGCUUUACCCAAUAAUAUUGACUCAAUAUUAUACACUUUUCAAGGUAAACCAGAAAUUGGGUAAUUUUAAUUAAUCCCAAAGUAAUAAAUAACAAGUUUACCUCUUAAAAUCUCACCCUUUACUUUGAUUAGGAAUAAAUUGUUGCCAUUUUAAAACUCUAAGUGUGUUGAGAGUAAUCAUUAUUCAACAAUUUGCCUUUCAUUUCAUUUUCAAGAUGCUAAUCAAUUGAUUAACCAAAGACUAGUUAAAGAUUGAUUAAUCAGAGAAUGGCAGAGUUUACUUAACUGUCAAUUGUCACUAAUCAUUAUUCACAUGCAGUCUAAUUAAUAUUAAUUUUUUACUUGGCAAGAAAAGGUUCAUUUAAUAAGCUCGUUUUUUUUCAGGCUAAACACAAAUUUAAAAAGAUUGACCUGAGAAGCCAAAGCUGAAACUGAAGAUGAUGAUGAAAGUCACGGGAUGAAAGACCAGUUUCAUUGAGAAAACCGGUGAUCAUCUCUUUCUUUUUCCUCUUUUUUCUCAUCUUCAUCAUUCUUAAGAUACUCAGGUAUUUAGGUCAUCUUGCUGAGUAAAAUAAACACCAAUCCAAAAGUGGAAGGUGCUAAAGCAUCAUCAGAAUGGAAGAAGAAGAAGAAAAGAUGAAAAUGAUUUAGAGAUGAAAGUAAAGAAUCUUUUGUUCCUCAGUAAACAGAUAAAAUAAACAAAUCAAUAAUAAUGAUAAUAGUAAUGAUAAUAUUAAAAGGAAGACAAUAGUCUCUCAAUAAUAUUGUAUUCACAUCUCAUCUUUGAGAUAUUGAUUGUUCAACUGAUUAGUUUAACAGAUUAUCGACAACAAUAACACCAAAUUGUAAUAACAGUUAACCCAAUGAUUUAAUUUAACUUUUCCCUUCAAUCCAUCACAACAAACAAAAUCAGUGAUUACAUGUUAAUUUGUUGAAUGAUAAAUAGCUGAUUAAAUAUUCAGUUGAAAAAAAGUGUGUAAAGUCAAUGUCCGACGAUUAACUCAUUUCCCUGCAAGUUAUCAAUUUUAUUCAACCGAUUCGUUGAUAUUAUCAUUUUUUGUGUUCAAAUAGUCAACAAAUAAUCACUCAUUAAUAAGGCCAAUCUGUUGAUUUGCCAUCUCGUCUAUUAUACGCUUCAAUUUUGCAUUGCAAAGCAAAUCGACACUUUUAGAUUGUCGUAGCUGAAUAAUUUUCCCAAUAAUCAUCAUGUUAAUCUGAUUUGAUUACAAACUGUUAGACAAACAAUGAGAUUGGUCGACUUGUUGCUUUAAUGGAUUGCAAAAAAACUGUUCAAAUAUCUGUUAUUAAUAGCUUGACGAAAGUUGUCAAAUGUAAAGAUUAAUGAUUACAUUUUCAUUUGAUUAACUAUUAACAGUUAUUAUUAUGAUCAUCAUCGAUUGCACCUUAAAGAUAAAUUGUAAUGGACUUUUUGUUUCUCUAAAUUUUUCAACAAUAAAGUUGAUCAAUUAUUGGAACGUUAUAAUAAUAAAAAGGUAAUAUCAAGAAAUGGUAAUAAUGAUGAAACUGUUUAGCUAAUAAUAGUUUUGAUAAUAUGGGCACAGUUAUUAUUAUUAUCUGGAUUCAAGUAUCAUGGAAUGAAGAAAAUGAAGAAAAGAAAUGAAAUAAUAUUCAAGUAUUGAUUGUUCAUUUGCUGCUCCUAUUGCAAGUAAAAUUUGAUUAAAUGACAAGGUUAAUAGAGUAAACUUGAUUGUUUAACAUGAAAGGUCAAUUAAGUAGCCUUGAUUGAAAACUCGUUCAAGUCUAUGUUUAUAUGUUUCCAGGUUUGUAAAUGUAAAACAACAACAACAGUAAAUUUAUCACUAAAAUUUUGCUUUUUUUUCUUCCUUACAGUUCUUGCUUUGACCGGAACCCAAUUUACCAAACCGGACUUUAAAAUAUUUAAAAAGGCCACCAGGAUUUGAACAUCUUUAAAGCUCUCUCUCUCUCUUCUGGUCAUCCUCAUCUUGAUCCACAUCCUCAUCAUUUUUGCGUGUUUUAACUACACAACUUGAAAAUAAAAUUACAAAUCCCCUGAAGGAACAACUAUUUUUGCAAAUACAAGUUGAAAUUAAAGUUGGCGAAAUGGUGGAUUAAAUGAUCGCUCAAUUUCAAGCCUGAACCUUCAUUGUUUUGAAAGUCAAGUUAACACACAUUAUCAAUAAGGAACAUUUGGAAAUUUGAUUUAACUGAAAUCUCAAAACGCUGGAUUAACAAUUGAAAUCUUACUGUUAACCCAGGCUUAACCGUGAGAUUGGAUGUUUCAAACCUUUUUCGUUGAGCGCGGGAAAAAUGCGGUUUCCGGUUGACAACAUUUUCAAAUGUUUUCGCUGAACAAUCUGUCUUUUGUUGGCUUAUUAAAUGUUUCACUAAACUCAGUUCAACUGAAUUGUUGCAGUUUUAAACAGGAAAUAUACCUGAAUUUGUAACAGAAGGAGAGUUAACAAGUUAAAGAGUCGCAAAGAUGAUGACAAUGUUUUCCUAUUAACUGGCCAUUCAAAACGGACUGAGAGUUGACCUUAACUUGGUUUAGGCCAUUCAAGUGUUGUACAUUCUCUAUAAUAAGAUUUCUUUUUCUCGUUUAAUGGUUGGAAUAAUCAAAUUGGAGAUUCUGCGAAAUAUCAAUGAUCCAAACUGUAUGGCUUAUUAAAGUUGAUGGAAAAUCUUAUUGUUGACCUGACACAUUGUUGGCCUCAUGAAACAUGUAAAAACUUGACGAUUGACUUGAUGCAAAAGAUUCUCAUCAUUAUCAUCCUCACAAGCUAAUCUGAAAGAGAUACAAGUCAACAAGAAUCAAAACAUAUUGAGUGCACACAUUAAACCAUACGGUAAAGCUGAGCAAAAUGGAAAAGCUUUUCAACUGUUACAGAUUAAUUAUUGGUGCAAUUUGAUAAUCCAAAAUAUGACAAUCGCAUUGGAAAGGAAGAAAACGAAAUGCCGUGUAAAGUGAUUUUAGGAAAAUUUACUCUUCAUUGGAAAACAAUUGUUGAUUUAGGAUUAUCACAAUGUUCAUUGGGAUACAUUGAUGCUGUCAAUUUAGAGACCAGAAAACUCAGAAGCCGCAAAUUUUACAGAUGAAACGCACGAAGACUUUUCUCAGCUCGUCUUUCCUAUCAAAUGAAUUAAUUUCCAUUCAAAUCAAUUCUUGGCAUUUUAUUCACUUCCCUUGUGAGAAGAGAUACAAUUUCAAGCGGAAAGGCCGUGGGUAAUAUGGUUAAAGUUGAGCAUUCAACGGAAUCGGAACAAGCAGGCAAAUAAUCAAUAUGAGCAAUAAAUUGUUCAAUCCAAUCUCUAUUCAAGUUCAUAUUUUACUUUAUUACCAAUUUAUUAUGUAAAUUGAUUGGCUGCCUUUCAUAGGUGUGUGAAUCUGGUUUACUUGGCAAGUGAAGGACAAUUAAAUCAACAUUAGAUUUAAUUUUAACCAAAUUUCCUUCAACAAUUUUUUCAUCCAAUCAACUAUUUUACUAAUCAAUCAAUUGAAUAAUCAAUCACAAUGAGUAACAACAAAUCGACCCAGUGAACAAAUACAAAUAAUGUGAGAGUCAAUAAGUAAGAAAAUAAAGAUUUAUUUCUUCAAAUUUGUUAUUGUAACACUAAAUCGAAGACAAUUGAAUGGUAAAUGUUGAAAAUCACAGUUCCGAUUACAAUUGUACGCAAAUUUAAAUUGAUUUGUGAUUGAUUAUUAUUGUUGCCAACAAAAGUUGAGCCUUUACUUGAUGGGACAACAAUUUUUAUUACAAUACCCGAAUCAAAUAACGGAACUCAACUUGAUAAGACAGAUUUAUCAAAUUUGAAUUUAAAUUCAUGUUAAGGGGAAACAUUAAAAAUUGUAAGGCUAACUGUCCUUUUCAUUGAGCUAAUACAAUAACAAACUUUUUACCAA